rnacentral:rRNA from 1 species
UUCACAAGGUUGACCUCGGAUCAGGUAGGGAUACCCGCUGAACUUAAGCAUAUCAAUAAGGCGGA